GUGUGCACAGAGCCCUUCUGGUGUGCGUGGCCGGAUGCUGGGCCACAGAGAUUCACAAAUCAGGCCUGAUCUCUGGGCUCAACGAAUGCAGAGUCUUGAUUCUCCACCCAGAAGCCAUUCCCAGGCCGUCCUCCUGAUUUCAAAGGCUUUCUCCUUCCUUCUCUGGAGGCUGAGAAUGCCAGAUGCCCACUUUUGCAGCCGGUAACACAGGGAGGGCUUGGGAACGUUUCCGGUCUGGCCAGAGGGAUUAAGGGAAACCUGCUGGGAGCUCCUGGCCACUAUUGCUCUUCACAUGAGAAAGAGAAAUUAAAUCACCUGCUCCAGCGGAUAACGUUAGAAGCUGGUUAUGCUGCAGUCUGUGAAGCAGGUUUUCUGGACAGGAAGGAGGGAAGACCUCUCAGGCUGGCCCAAGCACAGGUGCCCCUGCACUGGCCUGAGUGUGGAGACAGCCUUCAGCCUGCAGUCAGACUCGGUGGAGGAAGGAUCCCGGCCCCAGUCAAGUCCAGUGCAGCCACCACUGAUGGCCAUCCGCAGCCCCUGCCCUGAGGAACCAACAUGGGCAGCUGGGCAGAGAGAGUGACCAGAGCUUGUCCUGUGGUAAUCACUGCCCCCCUAGAAAGGUCAGUAGCACAACGAAGCUGUUCCCAGCUUUAAUAAAGUGAGCAGGACUAUCUGUAUCCUACCAGUUGACAAGGUCCACAUUUCACAAGUGAAGUCUGGAUAGUUUGCUGCUGACGGGUGUCAGAUAGAAUUCCCCAUCUCCUCCUCUCAUCUUCUAGCAUUGAGUGACAAGUACCUUCCCUUUACCAGUUUUCACCGAAUGCAAAAACUUAACCUCCCGAUGUGUUCAUUAAACCUCACUCUCCCUAAUAAUCUUUCCUCUCCAGAAGUGUGUUCUUAGGCCGCUUUGUGACAGAAACUAUCCUGUCCCUUGGAGAGCAGGUAAUUACCUUGCCCGUGUCAUCCCCAAUAGUGAUGUAUCUUUGACCUCACUUGAUCUUGGUUUUCA
rnacentral:lncRNA from 1 species